rnacentral:rRNA from 1 species
UGAGGAAUAUUGGUCAAUGGGCGAAAGCCUGAACCAGCCAUGUCGCGUGCAGGAAGACGGCCCUAUGGGUUGUAAACUGCUUUUGUAUGGGAAGAAACGACGGUACGAGUACUGUUUUGCCGGUACCAUACGAAUAAGGAUCGGCUAACUCCGUGCCAGCAGCCGCGGUAAUACGGAGGAUCCAAGCGUUAUCCGGAUUUAUUGGGUUUAAAGGGUGCGUAGGCGGGAGAUUAAGUCAGUGGUGAAAGUUUGCGGCUCAACCGUAAAAUUGCCAUUGAUACUGGUUUUCUUGAGUACAGUUGAGGUAGGCGGAAUGUGGUGUGUAGCGGUGAAAUGCUUAGAUAUACCACAGAACACCGAUUGCGAAGGCAGCUUACUAAGUUGUGACUGACGCUGAAGCACGAAAGCAUGGGGAUCAAACA